rnacentral:rRNA from 1 species
CCUACGGGAGGCAGCAGUGGGGAAUAUUGGACAAUGGGGGGAACCCUGAUCCAGCGACGCCGCGUGCGUGAAGAAGUAUUUCGGUAUGUAAAGCUCUAUCAGCAGGGAAGAAAGAAAUGACGGUACCUGACUAAGAAGCCCCGGCUAACUACGUGCCAGCAGCCGCGGUAAUACGUAGGGGGCAAGCGUUAUCCGGAUUUACUGGGUGUAAAGGGAGCGUAGACGGCGAUGCAAGUCUGAAGUGAAAGGCGGGGGCUCAACCCCCGGACUGCUUUGGAAACUGUAUGGCUGGAGUGCAGGAGAGGUAAGUGGAAUUCCUAGUGUAGCGGUGAAAUGCGUAGAUAUUAGGAGGAACACCAGUGGCGAAGGCGGCUUACUGGACUGUAACUGACGUUGAGGCUCGAAAGCGUGGGGAGCAAACAGGAUUAGAUACCCUUGUAGUC